UCUUAAGUUUUAUUAGGCGUGUUUAUAAUAAAGUUUUAUUUUUUCACUUUUCUCUAUCCUCACUUAAUAACUAGCAUGUUAUCAAUCACCUACAAAGCAUACAAACUAACUAAUCCCUUUUUCUUUUCUUUUUUUUAGUAGGCAGGUCAAUUAAUUGGUUUGAGGCAAAGGUGGUGUUGGGUAUGAGAAAAUGAGAUAUGCAUUAUCACAGGGAUAGAAACUCAAAGGAGCAUGAUCAUCCAAAAAAGGAUCUUCGCACAAGCUGACUGAUCCAUAUUAGAAACGUUGGGUUACGUUGCUUCUACAUGUGUGUGGUUGGUUGGCUCUCUCAUUCUAAACAAAAUGAUUAAUUUUUUAAAAUUUUUUUUUUUUGGGUUAGCUAGGAUGAUUGUUUUGUACCAAAAUGUUCAUUGACCUUUAUUUGAAGGCAUUGAAAUUUGAUAAUGCAAAAACGUUACCAGUUAUGAUACUAAUUCAAUAAUGUUUUUUUAUUGAAGGUUAUCCCAUUCUAACUUGCUAUAGUGUAUAUGUGUUAUUUUGACGUGGAUAAAAAUCUAAAAUUUGCUAUUUGGACUUUUAAUAUUUCUAGAUUCUUUGCUUAUGUUACAUUGAAAUAUAUAAUUCAUUUUUUGGACUUUAAUUUUAAAAUUUGAUAUUUGAAAUUUAUAAAUGCUUUCG